rnacentral:rRNA from 1 species
GAUGAACGCUAGCGGCAGGCCUAAUACAUGCAAGUCGAACGGUGUCUUCGGACAUAGUGGCGCACGGGUGCGUACACGUAUGCAACCUACCUUACAUUGGGGGAUAGCCUUUCGAAAGGGAGAUUAAUACCGCAUAAGACAGUAGCUGGGCAUCCAGCAGCUGUUAAAGAUUUAUCGAUGUAAGCUGGGCAUGCGUCCAAUUAGCUAGUUGGUGAGGUAACGGCUCACCAAGGCAAUGAUUGGUAGGGGAACUGAGAGGUCAAUCCCCCACACUGGAACUGAGAUACGGGCCAGACUCCUGCGGGAGGCAGCAGUAGGGAAUAUUGGGCAAUGGACGCAAGUCUGACCCAGCCAUGCCGCGUGCAGGAUGAAGGCGUUAUGCGUUGUAAACUGCUUUUAUACAGGAAGAAGCGACUCUUGCGAGAGGCAUUGACGGUACUGUAUGAAUAAGCACCGGCUAACUCCGUGCCAGCCGCCGCCGUAAAAC